rnacentral:lncRNA from 1 species
GUGAAUUCUGGUUGUUUUAUUUAGAGUUCGGCAGAACGAAAGCGAUAGCAAUGAAAAGGUUAUGUUUCCUAGAGGCAAUUGUAAAUAGGUACAUGUUUCGAGAUUUAAUAUUGAUAAAGGAGAAGACAAAACGUUUCUCGGUUCUGAGUCUACCGUCUAAUACAGAUAACAUCGCUAAUGUCGUAGUCGAUAAUACUCAUUUGCAACGAAUGUUACCAACAACCGCUUGAAAAAUCAAUUACUAGAUACACAAUUGUUGAUAUAUACAAUAUAUUCGAUCGAUUUCGUAAUCACGCGUUAUCGACGUCGACUACUGACGAUUUUUCCUUUUAUAGCAAAUGUGAAGCUCUGUUAAGGUACAUGGCAUUCUCAAGGAAAUAAAGCACAAGGCGGAAGCAAAACAAAUUUUUGUUCAUUUGCCAUGUAGUAUAGAGAAAAAGAUAGCAAAACGUAGAUAAGUUAAUGGCGCAGGCGGAAUAUGUUUCUUAUCGUUUCAUGUUUCAAGCAAAUAUUUGAAUAUUCUUUAAAUUGUACGAUAAACGAUUCGUCCGAUAAUAAAAUAAACGGGAGUUUUCUGAUGUUUUUAUGAUAAACGUGAAAAGUUAUUACGAAAAAUAAAAUAAAUAAAAUAGAAUACAUUAUUCUUUCAGUGAAACAGAUAAAAUGUACGAUAUAAUUUUAGCCUAGUACGAAUAUCAUUUGUAGUUUAUACGCUCCUCAAUGUCAGAUAGUAUUGCUUAGCGUGAAAUACGCGGACACGUGAACUCUCGUUCGUUCCUGUCAUCACCGAAAAUUUUCAGAUAGUAACACAUAUCAUACGUUAUUUUGAUGAAAAUGCGAAGCGUGACAAUCACAGCAACGAGCACCUACCUUCGCGUUCGAACGCAAGGCACGCGGGUUUCUUGGGUGGCGAAACACACUGGACUCGGAAAA